GGCUCGAUGGCAGAGUGGUAAUGCGUCCAUAUCCUUUGAUCUUGAGGCUCCUUGUGGUUUCUGCGGAGUUCGCCUGUUCGAACCAGGCUCGAGCCA